rnacentral:lncRNA from 1 species
GCCUCAUUAGAAUCAUGUCUCAACUUGAUUUCCAAUGUUUGACGCAUUGACGACAAGACUGCGAGGACACUGGGAAGAAACUGACGAUGAAUAGAACGCAUGGCGAACCAGAGGAGGGGGCAAGUCUGGGGGCGACAGGAUAUGAUGCAGACACAGAAGACACACAUGAUGAGAAGGACAUUUUGGAUGGGGAACCAGCUGCAUCUCAAGAAGCUGCGUCUCCACAACCGUCAGACGAGCUGGGAGGAGCUGAUGAUGAAACAGAACCAGCUGCAUCUCAAGAAGCUGCAUCUCCACAACCGUCAGACGAGCUGGGAGUGGAUGAUGAUGAAACAGGAGAAGCACAUAUUGCCGCCAAAAACUCCUCUAGUCCGCAGGAAACAGAGCGACCGAAAAGCCCAGGCCUGAUCCAGGUUGAGACGCCGACCAAGCGCUUCAAGAAAUAAUGUAUACAUAAUGUAAUGUAUAAGUGUAUAAGCUGCAUGUGACAUUUUUUCAAAUAAACACGUGUUGACUUGGAGUUGUUUGUGUUGUGAUGGAG